CCUACGGGAGACAGCAGUGGGGAAUAUUGCACAAUGGGGGGAACCUUGAUGCAGCAACGCCGCGUGGGUGAAGAAGUACUCCGGUAUGUAAAGCCCUGUCAGCCGGGAAGAAAAUGACGGUACCUGACCAAGAAGCCCCGGCUAACUACGUGCCAGCAGCCGCGGGAAUACGUAGGGGGUAAGCGUUAUCCGGAUUGACUCGUGGUAAAGGGGGCGUAGAUGGCAAGGCAAGUCUCGAGUGAAAGCCCGUGGCCCAACCACGGGACUGCUGUGGAAACUGUGUUGCUGGAGUGCAGGCGGGGUAAGCGGAAUUCCUAGUGUAGCGGUGAAAUGCGUAGAUAUUAGGAGGAACACCGGUGGCGAAGGCGGCUUACUGGACUGUAACUGACGUUGAGGCUCGAAGGCGUGGGGAGCAAACAGGAUUAGAUACCCUAGUAGUC
rnacentral:rRNA from 1 species